rnacentral:sRNA from 1 species
AUGGGACUGAGCUCAUCUCCAGCAUCUUUUCAACUGUUGAUGGAUAAAGUACUUAAAGGAUUAACUUUUAAAUCAUGUUUGUGCUAUCUUGAUGAUAUCCUUAUUGCAUCCGAAACAUUCGAUCAGCAUAUUGAAGAUUUACGGAACGUUUUUCAAAGACUUUCGAAUGCUGGUUUAAAGCUGGGACCCAAAAAGUGUACUUUUGCUCAGAACUCUUGCAUAUACUUAGGUCAUAAAAUUUCAAAUAAAGGAAUUGAGCCACCACCGGACCGUGUUCAGGCCAUCGUUGAUUAUCCUAUACCAAAAAAUGUGAAAGAGUUACGCCGCCUUGUUGGUUUAUUUAAUUGGUUUCGGAAAUACAUCAAAAAUUUCAGUGCUGAAAUGGAACCUCUGACGAGACUUUUAAAGAAAUAUGAACGUUUUAGCUGGACCGAUGAACAACAACGUGCAUUUCAGAAUGUUAAAUCACUCCUGCUAGAUUCUCCUAUUCUAGCCUUUCCAAACUUCAAUUUUCCAUUUAGACUUGCUGUAGACUCUUGUUGUAAGGGGAUUGGUUACGUGCUAUAUCAGAAAAUGAGCGAAACUGAUGAAAUUCGUGUUAUACGAUUCGGAUCUAAGGCACUUAGUAAAUGGCAGAAAUCAUAUGGCCCAACAAAGCUAGAAUUACUUGGCAUGGUUACCGCCGUUUUAGAAUGUUCAUCAUACCUACGUACACAGCCGUUUGUUAUAGAAUGCGACCACCAAGCGUUGAAACCGCUAUUUAGCAACCAACUGAAAGGCGCCAUUUAUGAGCGAUGGAUUGCUAUUUUGCAGCAAUAUAAUUUUGAAAUUCAAUACAAACCUGCGAGGGAAAUGCAAGUUCCGGAUGCUUUGUCACGAUGCACGCAAGAGACUAAUAACGCCUUUGAAAGUCCAGACGAGCAAGAUCCGUACUUCCCAUAUGAACCGGAAAAUACAGGUCAAAUAAUUGUUCCAGGAGGUAUUCAAUUGACCACUUUAUUACAUGACUCGGAUACUAGCGACAGUAAAAAUUUACAAUUGAACAAUAUUUGUCUGCCUGCGCCAGUUCCGAUGUACACCGUCGAUAAUAGUGUUCCACGCAAAAAUGUAUUGUUACAGGCACAAAAUGAAUAUGAUGCCGACACUGAAGACAUUGAUCAACAGUUUGCACGUGUAGCAAAGAAACGUAAACCGCGAAAAACGAUACAACUUUACCCACGAAAGAAAUAUAACGUAGUGAAAAAAUCAGAACCUUUGAAUAAACUGACCGAUUGUGACUCAAAGCAUACUCAAAUAUCGAUUUCUGAUCAGUUGAACCAGUUUGAAAAAGUUUAUCAACAAAUCACUCAGUCGACUAAUUUACCAAAAUCGGAUCAAAUAUUUGAUCAAAGUACUGAUAGUGCUACUUCUCAAUGUGAUGCAACAUUUUUCAAUCAAAGCACUGAAAGUUCUCAAAAUGAAGAGCCAGACAAAAUAUUUAAUCAAAGCACUGCAAGUGAUAAUGUACAGGAUUCGGACAAAAUAUUUGAGCAAACUACUGACGUUAAUGAAACGCAGGUUACUUAUAUUAGUGAAAAUGAAAUCACGAACAAUUAUACCAACAAACGAGACUCUGAUACUGGUAUUGAUAGUGAUCCAAAUGUAAAUAUUUUGAAAUCGAUUGACAUUUUUCGGGAAAAGGGAUUUAGCAUAGAGUCGAUACAUGAAUUGCAGCGUAAUGAUACAAACUGCAGACCGUUAAUUAAGUAUCUUGAAAGAAACGAACUACCAAAGCUGCAGAAAGAAGCGCGCAGACUUCUUUUAUUAAUACCAAAUUUUCACUUGAUCAAUGGAAUAUUAUUUCAUACACGAAAUAGGAAAUCAGUGCGUGCAAAAACAAUGAAUAAUUUUCAGCUAGUUGUCCCGGAAAUUUCAUUGAAAACAAUAAUUGCAUUACAUCAUGAUUCGACAUUAGGUGGACAUUGUGGUAUACAAAAUACUCUUGAUUUAAUCCAAGAACAGUACUAUUUUCCGAAUUUGAGUGAAAAAGUAACUGAUUAUAUUCGUUCAUGUCAUGAAUGUCAAAGCAGGAAAAAUACCACACUAAAAACAAAAGCGUCCAUUACGUCAUUUCCUACGCCGUGUGCACCAUUUGAAGUUUGGGAAAUGGACCUUCAAUAUGGACCCGUCCCUGUCUCUCGAAGUGGCAAUUCUUACAUUUUUACUGCAAUUGACUUAUUUAGUAAAUACAUGUUUGCAGAGCCGAUACCUAACACUGAUCCGUUAACAGUCGGAAAUGCUCUUUUUAGAUUAGUCACGCAAUUUGGAGUUUGUCGAACUAUCGUUAGUGAUCAAGGAUCGGAAUUUAUUGGUAAAUGUUUCCGAGAAGUUUGUCGUUUAUUGGAUAUUAUUCAGGAAUAUACCCCUAGCUUCGCUCAUCAUUGUUUGGGAGCAUGUGAGAGACCUCACAGAACUUUAUCGGAAAGACUAACACCGUUUAUUGUAAAAGGAAAACCAUGGGAGGACGUAUUACCGGGAAUAGUAUUUUCGAUGAACAAUACGCCAAACCAAAGUGUUGGAUUUUCGCCUUUUGAAAUAGUGUUUGGGAAAAGACCCCAAUUUCCGUUGUCUCUACAUAUUAAGGACACCGACUUUUCGUCUGUACCUAAAGAUUGCCAUACGUAUCUGAAACAGCAAU